rnacentral:lncRNA from 1 species
ACCUAAUCGGGUCAAACCUAACUGAAUCCAAUUCAAUUGUACUUGAUCUAAAAAUAAUGACUCAAUCAAAUUGAGUUAAUUAGCGAUCAAAUCACUAAUUAAAACUCUCAUAAAUAUUGAGUCCAAAUUCGAUGGAUAAUCGGGCAUCAGAAUUCAUCGAUAUGUAACCCUGAUCGAAGAGUCCCAAACCAGUGGAACUCUUGACCCCGGUACCCAAAAUGUGUGGGACU